rnacentral:rRNA from 1 species
UACGUAGGGUGCGAGCGUUGCCCGGCUUUAUUGGGCGUAAAGGGCGCGUAGGCGGCUCGGCACGUCCGUUGUGAAAUCGCCCGGCUCAACUGGGCGGGGUCGGCGGAUACGGCCGAGCUGGAGCAAGCUAGGGGGUAAUGGAAUUCCCGGUGUAGUGGUGGAAUGCGUAGAUAUCGGGAGGAACACCAGUGGCGAAGGCGGUUACCUGGAGCUUUGCUGACGCUGAUGCGCGAAAGCGUGGGGAGCGAUCCGG